rnacentral:rRNA from 1 species
GAUGAACGCUGGCGGCGUGCCUAAUACAUGCAAGUCGAGCGAACAGACGAGGAGCUUGCUCCUCUGACGUUAGCGGCGGACGGGUGAGUAACACGUGGAUAACCUACCUAUAAGACUGGGAUAACUUCGGGAAACCGGAGCUAAUACCGGAUAAUAUAUUGAACCGCAUGGUUCAAUAGUGAAAGACGGUUUUGCUUUCACUUAUAGAUGGAUCCGCGCCGCAUUAGCUAGUUGGUAAGGUAACGGCUUACCAAGGCAACCAUGCGUAGCCGACCUGAGAGGGUGAUCGGCCACACUGGAACUGAGACACGGUCCAGACUCCUACGGGAGGCAGCAGUAGGGAAUCUUCCGCAAUGGGCAGAAGCUUGACGGAGCAACGCCGCGUGAGUGAUGAAGGUCUUCGGAUCGUAAAACUCUGUUAUUAGGGAAGAACAAAUGUGUAAGUAACUAUGCACGGCUUGACGGUACCUAAUCAGAAAGCCACGGCUAACUACGUG